GGUAAGAUUAGUUUAAUUGGUAAAAUAAAGUCUUGUGGCGACUCUAGUUCAGAGUUCGAAUCUCUGAUCUUACC
rnacentral:tRNA from 2 species